UACGUAGGGUGCAAGCGUUGUCCGGAAUUAUUGGGCGUACAGAGCUCGUAGGCGGUCUGUCGCGUCGAUCGUGAAAACUUGGGGCUUAACCCUGAGCUUGCGGUCGAUACGGGCAUGACUGGAGUUCGGCAGGGGAGACUGGAAUUCCUGGUGUAGCGGUGAAAUGCGCAGAUAUCAGGAGGAACACCGGUGGCGAAGGCGGGUCUCUGGGCCGAUACUGACGCUGAGGAGCGAAAGCGUGGGGAGCGAACAGG
rnacentral:rRNA from 1 species